UGGAGAUGAUUAUGAUGAUGAUGAUGAUGAUGUGGAUGUGGAUGUGGAUGUGAAUGAUGGUGACGAGGCACAGUCACUGGGGUCCUCUUCUUCUUCAGCAUGCUCAUCAUCUUCUUUG
rnacentral:miRNA from 1 species